rnacentral:rRNA from 1 species
CGGCGUGCCUAACACAUGCAAGUCGAGCGGGGACGUGUACGACGGAUUUGAAGAUUCGGUUGGAUAUGAAGAUGUACAGUUCUAGCGGCGGACGGGUGAGUAACGCGUGAGCAACCUGUCCCUUACAGGGGAGUAACACAGCGAAAGUUGUACUAAUACCGCAUGAGACCACGAUAUCACAUGGUAUAGGGGUCAAAGGAGCAAUCCGGUAAGGGGUGGGCUCGCGUCCGAUUAGAUAGUUGGUGAGGUAACGGCCCACCAAGUCGACGAUCGGUAGCCGACCUGAGAGGGUGAUCGGCCACAUUGGGACUGAGACACGGCCCAAACUCCUACGGGAGGCAGCAGUGGGGAAUAUUGGGCAAUGGGGGGAACCCUGAACCCCAGCAACGCCGCGUGAGGGAAGAAGGUUUUCGGAUCGUAAACCUCUGUCCUAUGUGAAGAGGAAGAGACGGUAGCAUAGGAGGAAGCCCCGGCUAACUACGUGCCAGCAGCUGC